UUUGUUGAAAAUAUCUGGUACACGGUUCAGUUGUUGUGGUAUAUCUUCAUAUACAGACAAUCAUGAAUGUGUUGAUAUACAUUAACCAAUGUUUUUUAUCAUCUGUUAAGAUGUCUUAUUUCACCAUAUCAAGUAAAAAUAAAUCACUUUGAAAGCUGGAACCCAGAUAACAUAUCAAAUUUUAUCUAUGCUACAACCUGAUAAUAUCAGAGACACAUGGAAGCUGGAAUCAAAAUAAAAAAUCCUGUUUGACACCAUCAAUGGGUUGAGGGAAGUGAGAUUCACUUCAUAGAUCUUAUUGUAAUUUGUAUCAACUUAGGAACAAAUAAUAUCUGUAAAACAUAUCAUGAGACAUGAGUAAUAAAACUUUCUUUCUGGCAAAAAAACAUGAUUUGUAAAAUUAUAAACCUUACUAUGAGUAUCUCCAUUCCAUUGUCCAAGUAACUUCAGCAAUUCAUAUCAAUAUCUAGAAACCAUAUGCAUGCUUACGAAGCCGAC
rnacentral:lncRNA from 1 species